GUCCACGCCGUAAACGAUGGGUGCUAGGUGUGGGCGGUGUCAACUCCGUCCGUGCCGAAGCUAACGCAUUAAGCACCCCGCCUGGGGAGUACGGCCGCAAGGCUAAAACUCAAAGGAAUUGACGGGGGCCCGCACAAGCAGCGGAGCAUGUGGUUCAAUUCGACGCAACGCGAAGAACCUUACCAAGGCUUGACAUGCACUGGAAUGUCGUAGAAAUACGGCAGCCCUUCGGGGCCGGUGCACAGGUGGUGCAUGGCUGUCGU
rnacentral:rRNA from 1 species